rnacentral:rRNA from 1 species
CACACCGCCCGUCACACCAUGGGAGUUGGUUCUACCUGAAGCCAGUGAGCUAAUAUGGCAGCUGUCCACGGUAGGGUCAGCGACUGGGGUG